rnacentral:rRNA from 1 species
AUGGUGCAGUACCCUAGCUUGCACAAGAUUGUGAGACAUAAAUUUGUCACGAUCAAACAAGUUUUGGGGCAAGAAAACCCCGAUAUUCCUUUCCGUAGGGACCUCUUUGGCCCGCGCCUGGUAGCAUGGAAUGAGUUACUCUCUUGUCUGGAGGACAUUCAACUGUCAAGCAAACCAGACAAGUUUCGAUGGAAGCUGCAUUAGAACGGCAGUUUCUCAGUCAAGUCCUUGUACGAUGCAAUGGCUCAUAGUGAUGUUCCUGUUGAUAACAAAAGUUUGUGGAAGCUAAAAACACCUCUAGUGAAGAUAUUCCUCUGGUAUUUAAGUAGCGGAGUCAUCUUAACUAGAGAUAAUCUUGCACGACGUAACUGUCAAGGUAGUAAGACAUGUGUCUUUUGCCAACAUAAUGAGUCUAUUAAACACUUAUUUUUCAGUGUAAGUUUGCUUGUGUAG